rnacentral:rRNA from 1 species
GGGUUGUGAGGUUAAGCGACUAAGCGUACACGGUGGAUGCCCUGGCAGUCAGAGGCGAUGAAGGACGUGCUAAUCUGCGAUAAGCGUCGGUAAGGUGAUAUGAACCGUUAUAACCGGCGAUUUCCGAAUGGGGAAACCCAGUGUGAUUCGUCACACUAUCAUUAACUGAAUCCAUAGGUUAAUGAGGCGAACCGGGGGAACUGAAACAUCUAAGUACCCCGAGGAAAAGAAAUCAACCGAGAUUCCCCCAGUAGCGGCGAGCGAACGGGGAGCAGCCCAGAGCCUGAAUCAGUGUGUGUGUUAGUGGAAGCGUCUGGAAAGGCGCGCGAUACAGGGUGACAGCCCCGUACACAAAAAUGCACAUGCUGUGAGCUCGAUGAGUAGGGCGGGACACGUGGUAUCCUGUCUGAAUAUGGGGGGACCAUCCUCCAAGGCUAAAUACUCCUGACUGACCGAUAGUGAACCAGUACCGUGAGGGAAAGGCGAAAAGAACCCCGGCGAGGGGAGUGAAAAAGAACCUGAAACCGUGUACGUACAAGCAGUGGGAGCACGCUUAGGCGUGUGACUGCGUACCUUUUGUAUAAUGGGUCAGCGACUUAUAUUCUGUAGCAAGGUUAACCGAAUAGGGGAGCCGAAGGGAAACCGAGUCUUAACUGGGCGUUAAGUUGCAGGGUAUAGACCCGAAACCCGGUGAUCUAGCCAUGGGCAGGUUGAAGGUUGGGUAACACUAACUGGAGGACCGAACCGACUAAUGUUGAAAAAUUAGCGGAUGACUUGUGGCUGGGGGUGAAAGGCCAAUCAAACCGGGAGAUAGCUGGUUCUCCCCGAAAGCUAUUUAGGUAGCGCCUCGUGAACUCAUCUCCGGGGGUAGAGCACUGUUUCGGCAAGGGGGUCAUCCCGACUUACCAACCCGAUGCAAACUGCGAAUACCGGAGAAUGUUAUCACGGGAGACACACGGCGGGUGCUAACGUCCGUCGUGAAGAGGGAAACAACCCAGACCGCCAGCUAAGGUCCCAAAGUCAUGGUUAAGUGGGAAACGAUGUGGGAAGGCCCAGACAGCCAGGAUGUUGGCUUAGAAGCAGCCAUCAUUUAAAGAAAGCGUAAUAGCUCACUGGUCGAGUCGGCCUGCGCGGAAGAUGUAACGGGGCUAAACCAUGCACCGAAGCUGCGGCAGCGACGCUUAUGCGUUGUUGGGUAGGGGAGCGUUCUGUAAGCCUGUGAAGGUGUGCUGUGAGGCAUGCUGGAGGUAUCAGAAGUGCGAAUGCUGACAUAAGUAACGAUAAAGCGGGUGAAAAGCCCGCUCGCCGGAAGACCAAGGGUUCCUGUCCAACGUUAAUCGGGGCAGGGUGAGUCGACCCCUAAGGCGAGGCCGAAAGGCGUAGUCGAUGGGAAACAGGUUAAUAUUCCUGUACUUGGUGUUACUGCGAAGGGGGGACGGAGAAGGCUAUGUUGGCCGGGCGACGGUUGUCCCGGUUUAAGCGUGUAGGCUGGUUUUCCAGGCAAAUCCGGAAAAUCAAGGCUGAGGCGUGAUGACGAGGCACUACGGUGCUGAAGCAACAAAUGCCCUGCUUCCAGGAAAAGCCUCUAAGCAUCAGGUAACAUCAAAUCGUACCCCAAACCGACACAGGUGGUCAGGUAGAGAAUACCAAGGCGCUUGAGAGAACUCGGGUGAAGGAACUAGGCAAAAUGGUGCCGUAACUUCGGGAGAAGGCACGCUGAUAUGUAGGUGAAGUCCCUCGCGGAUGGAGCUGAAAUCAGUCGAAGAUACCAGCUGGCUGCAACUGUUUAUUAAAAACACAGCACUGUGCAAACACGAAAGUGGACGUAUACGGUGUGACGCCUGCCCGGUGCCGGAAGGUUAAUUGAUGGGGUCAGCGCAAGCGAAGCUCUUGAUCGAAGCCCCGGUAAACGGCGGCCGUAACUAUAACGGUCCUAAGGUAGCGAAAUUCCUUGUCGGGUAAGUUCCGACCUGCACGAAUGGCGUAAUGAUGGCCAGGCUGUCUCCACCCGAGACUCAGUGAAAUUGAACUCGCUGUGAAGAUGCAGUGUACCCGCGGCAAGACGGAAAGACCCCGUGAACCUUUACUAUAGCUUGACACUGAACAUUGAGCCUUGAUGUGUAGGAUAGGUGGGAGGCUUAGAAGUGUGGACGCCAGUCUGCAUGGAGCCGACCUUGAAAUACCACCCUUUAAUGUUUGAUGUUCUAACGUUGACCCGUAAUCCGGGUUGCGGACAGUGUCUGGUGGGUAGUUUGACUGGGGCGGUCUCCUCCUAAAGAGUAACGGAGGAGCACGAAGGUUGGCUAAUCCUGGUCGGACAUCAGGAGGUUAGUGCAAUGGCAUAAGCCAGCUUGACUGCGAGCGUGACGGCGCGAGCAGGUGCGAAAGCAGGUCAUAGUGAUCCGGUGGUUCUGAAUGGAAGGGCCAUCGCUCAACGGAUAAAAGGUACUCCGGGGAUAACAGGCUGAUACCGCCCAAGAGUUCAUAUCGACGGCGGUGUUUGGCACCUCGAUGUCGGCUCAUCACAUCCUGGGGCUGAAGUAGGUCCCAAGGGUAUGGCUGUUCGCCAUUUAAAGUGGUACGCGAGCUGGGUUUAGAACGUCGUGAGACAGUUCGGUCCCUAUCUGCCGUGGGCGCUGGAGAACUGAGGGGGGCUGCUCCUAGUACGAGAGGACCGGAGUGGACGCAUCACUGGUGUUCGGGUUGUCAUGCCAAUGGCACUGCCCGGUAGCUAAAUGCGGAAGAGAUAAGUGCUGAAAGCAUCUAAGCACGAAACUUGCCCCGAGAUGAGUUCUCCCUGACUCCUUGAGAGUCCUGAAGGAACGUUGAAGACGACGACGUUGAUAGGCCGGGUGUGUAAGCGCAGCGAUGCGUUGAGCUAACCGGUACUAAUGAACCGUGAGGCUUAACCUUACAACGCCGAAGCUGUU